AGAGAGAGACAUGCGCGCAUAUCAAUAAGCGGAGGAAAAGAAACUAACUAGGAUUCCCUCGUAACGGCGAGUGAAGCGGGAGGAGCUCAAAUUUGAAAUCUUCAAGGUUUUACCUUGACGAAUUGUAGUUUAAAGAAGUGUUUUCUGCUGAAGUUUUGGUAAAAGUUCUUUGGAAUAGGACAUCAUAGAGGGUGAGAAUCCCGUAUUUGACCAUUAUUUUCAGCUUUGUGAUACACUUUCAAAGAGUCGGAUUGUUUGGGAAUGCAGUCCAAAAUGGGUGGUAAAUUUCAUCUAAAGCUAAAUAUUGGCGAGAGACCGAUAGCGAACAAGUACCGUGAGGGAAAGAUGAAAAGAACUUUGAAAAGAGAGUUAAACAGUACGUGAAAUUGUCAAAAGGGAAGCGUUUGACACCAGUGUUGUUUUCUCGAAAAUCAAUUAAAAAUGGCUCGAUUUUGCUAUUGCUUGAGACCUUAAAAGCUCACUGUACAUUUUUCAUGUCUUUUUUAAUGCACUUUUCGUUUAACAAGUCAACAUCAGUUUCUUUUGUUGUAAAAGGGUCAUUGGAAGGUGGCUUUCUUUUCGGAGAAAGUGUUUAUAGCCUUUGGCCUCUGCAAUCGGAGAGACUGAGGUCUGCAGCGUAGACUCUUCGGGGUUAGAUACAUUUGUGCUAAGUUAUAGCUUUUUAUAGACAACUUGUUGACUAUAAUUAGUCUUGUAGCUUACUCGCUUAUGCUAUUUUACCUACGCUUAGGAUGUUGAGUCGUAGAGCACGCA
rnacentral:rRNA from 1 species